CCUACGGGUGGCAGCAGUGGGGAAUAUUGCACAAUGGGCGCAAGCCUGAUGCAGCCAUGCCGCGUGUGUGAAGAAGGCCUUCGGGUUGUAAAGCACUUUCAGCGGGGAGGAAGGCGUUAAGGUUAAUAACCUUGUCGAUUGACGUUACCCGCAGAAGAAGCACCGGCUAACUCCGUGCCAGCAGCCGCGGUAAUACGGAGGGUGCAAGCGUUAAUCGGAAUUACUGGGCGUAAAGCGCACGCAGGCGGUCUGUCAAGUCGGAUGUGAAAUCCCCGGGCUCAACCUGGGAACUGCAUUCGAAACUGGCAGGCUAGAGUCUUGUAGAGGGGGGUAGAAUUCCAGGUGUAGCGGUGAAAUGCGCAGAUACCGGAAGGAACGCCAAUAGCGAAGGCAGCUACCUGGACGACUUGUGACGCUGAGGCGCGAAAGCGUGGGGAGCAAACCGGAUUAGAUACCCUAGUAGUC
rnacentral:rRNA from 1 species